AAGCUCUUUCAGCCGGGAAGAAAACGCAUGGGUUAAUACCCUGUGUGGAUGACGGUACCGGAAUAAGAAGCACCGGCUAACUACGUGCCAGCAGCCGCGGUAAUACGUUGGGUGCGAGCGUUAAUCGGAAUUACUGGGCGUAAAGCGUGCGCAGGCGGUUUUGUAAGACAGGCGUGAAAUCCCCGGGCUCAACCUGGGAACUGCGUUUGUGACUGCAAGGCUAGAGUACGGCAGAGGGGGGUGGAAUUCCACGUGUAGCAGUGAAAUGCGUAGAGAUGUGGAGGAACACCAAUGGCGAAGGCAGCCCCCUGGGUCGAUACUGACGCUCAUGCACGAAAGCGUGGGUAGCAAACAGGAUUAGAUACCCUGGUAGUCCACGCCCUAAACGAUGUCAACUAGGUGUUGGGUGGGUAAAACCAUUUAGUACCGGAGCUAACGCGUGAAGUUGACCGCCUGGGGAGUACGGCCGCAAGGUUAAAACUCAAAGGAAUUGACGGGGACCCGCACAAGCGGUGGAUGAUGUGGAUUAAUUCGAUGCAACGCGAAAAACCUUACCUACCCUUGACAUGUCCAGAAGCCCGAAGAGAUUUGGGUGUGCCCGAAAGGGAGCUGGAACACAGGUGCUGCAUGGCUGUCGUCAGCUCGUGUCGUGAGAUGUUGGGUUAAGUCCCGCAACGAGCGCAACCCUUGUCGUUAAUUGCCAUCAUUUAGUUGGGCACUUUAACGAGACUGCCGGUGACAAACCGGAGGAAGGUGGGGAUGACGUCAAGUCCUCAUGGCCCUUAUGGGUAGGGCUUCACACGUCAUACAAUGGUCGGUACAGAGGGUUGCCAAGCCGCGAGGUGGAGCCAAUCCCAGAAAGCCGAUCGUAGUCCGGAUUGCAGGCUGCAACUCGCCUGCAUGAAGUCGGAAUCGCUAGUAAUCGCGGAUCAGC
rnacentral:rRNA from 1 species